GGCCUAUACAUUCUAUGUCAGUUCAUGCUUUUUAAAUUUUAAUCUAAUGAUACAUUUUCAAUCAUUCUCUAAUUGCUUUCUCUAUAGACAGAUAAUCUGAGUGGACUAAAGUUUAUCCUUGGGUUAUCAUAAAUUCCAAAUGAGCAGAACUGGAGAAAUGAAAUCUUCCUAGACUUGGUAUACGCUGGACCUGUGACUUUGUGUGCCUACCCAUACCUGGCUGUCUAUUCUUAGUAACAGGGUGUGGUGAUAAGGACAUUGGCCUGGUAGUCAGGAGGCUCCACACUGUAUCUAGCACUGUCUCUGACUGUGUAACAAGACAACUCUAAUAAUCUGUUUUUCUCUAAAUUUAUUUUAAAAUUUUGGUUACAUAUACAUAACAUCAAAUUUACCAUCUUAGCAAUUUUUAAACAUCUAGUUCAGUGGCAUAAGUACAUUCACAUUGUUGUGCAACCUUUACCACCAUUCAUUUCCAGAACUCUUUUCAUCUUGCAAAUCUGAAACUCUGUACCUAUUACACAAUAGCUUCCUGUUCUCCCAAGUUCUGUCUCUCUGAGUUUGACUACUCUAUUUGCCUCAUAUAAGUGGAAUCAUAUAGUAUUUAUCCUUUUGUGACUGGCUUAUUUCAAUUAGCAUAAUGUCCUCAAACUUCAUCUGUGUUGUAGCAUAUGUCAGAAUUUUCUUCCUUUUUAGGGCUGAAUAAUAUUCCAUAAUACAUAUACAGUGUUUUGUUUAGCUGUUCGUCUAUCAGUGGACACUUGGUUGCUUCCACCAUGUGGCUGUUGUGAAUAGUGCAGCUGUGAGCCUGGGUUCACAAAUACCUGUUUGAGAACCUACUUUCAGUUCUUUUGGUAAUAUUCCCAGAAAUGGAAUUGCUGCAUCAUAUGGUAAUUCUAUUUUUAAUUUUUUUAGAGAUCAUCAUUCUGUUUUCCAAAAUGGCUGCACCAUUUUACAUUCCCACCAACAAUGCAUGAAGAUUCCAAUUUUUCUAUGUCCAUGCUGACACAUGGUUAUUUGUUUUUUUAAAAUUCACUCUGAUUGUGUGUAUGUGUGAUGAUCAAUUAAGUUUGUAUGUGUCUAUAUGGUUUUCAGUUUUAUCUUGGUUACUCCGAAUGACCUAGACCAGUGUUUCCCAAACUUUCUGGACCAUAAAACUUACCUAGAAUAAGAUUCUCUGUCCUAGACAUGUUAAAUCAGAAUCUCUGGGGUAGGAUCCUGAAAACCUGUAUAUUUAAAAAGUACCCUAGGGUGAUUCUUGUUAAUAUAAUCACACAAACCUGAGAAAUACUGAUUAGACCUUUAUUUUCUAUGAUUAUUGAUCAGAUAGGUUUUAUAAACUUUCCAUAAUCUCCCUCUUGAAAAUUAACAAUGAACAUUAGCUUAUUAAGGGUUAUGUAAAAAUUUCUCUGAGUAAAGCCAUUUUAUGUCUUUUUAAUCCAGCAUUUCCCAGUGUAACCAUGAACACUGUUUUGGGGCCAUAUCAUUUCAUUUCUUAUGCUAUACUUUUACUUUUUCAAGACAUAUUUUUGAUUUAGACAAAUGGUUCCCAACUCAUUUUGUGGGAAAAUUUUUCCAUUUUAAAAACUUUAUUGUGGAAAAGUUCUACUAGAUGUAGUGACUUACAACCUAACACUGUAUUAAGGCCUUAACUAUCAAUUGAUUCUCUGUGUGCAAGAGGUCUUUUGUUUUCUCUGUAUUUUCCACAGCCUUGUUUGCUUAUAAUUAGUGAAAGCUGUUGAUUUUUUUUUUUUGUUUUUCUGGGUUAAUUAUUUUAGUCUUAAAUCUGUAGACUUAUUCAUUGUAUUUGUCUUUUGAUACUAGUGAUAUAUAAAGAUGAUUUUCAUAUGUGAAGGAGAACUCUGCAAAGAUCUUUGCUUCCUGUGACCAUAGUAAUAACGAUUGCUGAGAUUGUAGGGCAACUGGCUAGCUUGAAGUCUAAGAAGAAACAGAUGCAGGGAAAGACAUGAGCACUUGCUUACCUGGGCACCCACAGCUGGACACUGGAAAUGUUGAGUAACAACUAUGUGACAAGUACUGUACUGGAGUCCGUGAUACAAAAACUAUUAAGGUAAGUGUCUGCCCUUGAUAAACUUUUAGGGGAAGGUAGCAAAAACUGUUAUAGAGGGAAGUUCAAUGCCAUGUGGAACAUUCUGAUUAAUGUAACUUCAUUUAGCAAGUUUUGUUCAGUUUCCUUUUAUCUUCUGCUUGGAAUUCUUCUAUCAUUUAGAAUCUCAAUGCUAUUUUACUCUUCUCUUAUUCCCCCUUCCUCAUUCAAACUAUUUUGGAAUUCUCAGUCGUUCCUGAUGUUUUCCUAACUUAGAGAGAAACAGUGGCUUUGUCCUGAAUGUACCUUAUCUAGUAUUACAGUUACUCGAAUACCUCUUUGCUUAACACACUACUCUUACCAAAGAAACUUUGUAGUCUGAAUAUAAAGCUUUCACUUAAACUUUUGCUGCUUUGUUUUGUUUAUUCCAUGGUCUUUUCAUAGAAUAAAACAGUUAACUUAGGAAACCUGUAAAACCUCUUUGAAAAAAAUGUGUAUACAUGUAUUUUGCAAUAAUUUCAGAUAAUCAGAAAUACAUUCUUUUUUAAAAAUAAUUUCAACUUUUAUUUUAGAUUCAAGGAACACAUGUGCAAGUUUGUUGCAUGGGUGUAUUGUGUAAUGCUGAGAUUUGAGAUAGGAAUGAUCCAGUCACCCAGGUAAUGAGCAUAGUACCCAAUGAUUUUCUAGCCCUUGCCCCCCUCCUUUUCUCCCCUCCCUUAAUAGUCUCCAGUGUCUAUUGACAUCUUUAUGUUCAUGAGUGCCCAGUGUUUAGCCUCCACUUAUAAGUAUGAUCUGAAUGCUAUUUGGUUUUCUUUUUUUGCAUUAAUUUGCUUAGGAGAAUAGCCUCCAGCUGUUUCUAUGUUGCUGUAAAGAAUAUGAUUUGUUCUUUUUUAUGGAUAAAUAGUAUUCCAUGAGGAGUGGAAUAGUAUUCCACACACUCCUCAUGUUUUCUUUAUCCAAUCCACUGUUGAGGACACUUAGGUUAGUUCCAUGUUUUUUUGCUGUUGUGAAUAGUGAUGCAACAAACAUGCAAGUGCAUGUGUCUCUUUCAUAGAACAGUUUCUUUUAUUUUGGAUAUAUGCCUAGUAAUGGCAUUGCUGAGUCAAAU